rnacentral:rRNA from 1 species
CAAAAGAUCGAAUGGGGAGAUUCAUCGUCAGCGUGGCGCGGCGCUUGUGCGGUUCGCGAUGCCUCGCGAUCUUUUGAUCGUUUGGCACGCGUCCGCAUGGUCAUAAUUGCCCGUCAUCGUCGGCGUGCACUUCUCCCCUAGUAGGACGUCGCGACCCGUUGGGUGUCGGUCUACGGCCCGGAUGUGUAGACUGUCGCGCGUCACGGUUUAAUCGCCGUCGCGAGGCAGACCACCGGUUGCCCGACCAGCUGCCCGGCGGUACUCGCAAGGUAUCGAGCCGCAAUUUCUUUUCCUUCCGGACUUGAGAUUGCGUCCGGCCCGUCGCAAGCUUGGCAAGUGUUAACCCGGAUGUUACGGACCUAGCGCCGUCACCGGGCCUGGCCAGCUGUUGGCAGACGGUGCUCUCGGACUGGCUUCAAUCGUUCCUCGGAACGAUAUACCGGUCAGCGACGCUACUGCUUUGGGUACUUUCAGGACCCGUCUUGAAACACGGACCAAGGAGUCUAACAUGUGCGCGAGUCAUUGGGAUUUCAUGAAAACCUAAAGGCGCAAUGAAAGUGAAGGUCGGCCUCGCGCCGACCGAGGGAGGAUGGGCCGCGUCACGAUGCGGUCCCGCACUCCCGGGGCGUCUCGUUCUCAUUGCGAGAAGAGGCGCACCCAGAGCGUACACGUUGGGACCCGAAAGAUG